CUGUAAAGGUAAGUAAACGCUUCCUGCCGGGCCCCAACAGGACCGCCGGGCUUGUAAUGAGCCCGGCCAUCCUGGUCUGUAUUAUGGCAAUAUAAGUUGCCAUAAUACAGACCUUGACUCGAGUAUAACCCGAGGGGGGGAUUUUUCAGCACCAAAAAAUGUGCCGAAAAACUCGGCUUAUACUCGAGCAUAUACAGUAAUAUCUGCAUUUAGAAGGGAUAUUGGACUAUAAUUUUCUAGAUGUGCCGGAUUCUUAUUAGAUUUUAGAAUUAGAUUGGCUUGAAAAAGCCUUGGUGUACUAUGC